GAAGGCUGCAGUGCACAGUGUCCCAGGGUUUCGGAAGGAGCCAGCAGGAUGAAGUUCUCUCCUGUCCUUGCUUGGACCCUCUCCUCUUAUGGGUGACAUGGUCAUUUUCUCCUUCAGCAGGACCAGCCGGCUUCACCCAAGAACUAAUUCGUCCAGCCAUCUGGGGUCAGGGAGACAGGGUUGUAUGUGUAGAUACUGCUGCCAGGGGCCCUCUUCUACAGGUGGGUGUGCGGAGGGGCUCAGCACACAGAGAGCAGUGUGACUGUGAGCAGGGAAGACACCCUCGGAGGAGAUGCGUCCCGCUCCAGAGACCAAAAUGGCAUUCCCAGGCUUUCCUGAUGCCGGAAACUACUUGAUGGAAUCCCGGGAGGGCCCCUGUCAAACGUGGUCUCUUCUCUGAGGCUCCCGCAGGCCCCCAGCACCUGUGAUUGCAGGAUCUCAGCACACCCUGGUAACUUGAAUGCCACCAGUCUCCUGCUUGGAUGGUGAGAUCCUGGAGAAUGGGGACUUUGGCUGUCCACAGCCGUUGCAGAGCCUGGUACAGUGACUGGGUGUCUCCUGCAAUCCAGGCUUG